rnacentral:rRNA from 1 species
GUUUAACGCUGGCGGCGUGCUUAAUACAUGCAAGUCGAGCGGACCAAAUCGGAGCUUGCUCUGAUUUGGUCAGCGGCGGACGGGUGAGUAACACGUGGGCAACCUGCCCGCAAGACCGGGAUAACUCCGGGAAACCGGAGCUAAUACCGGAUAACACCGAAGACCGCAUGGUCUUUGGUUGAAAGGCGGCCUUUGGCUGUCACUUGCGGAUGGGCCCGCGGCGCAUUAGCUAGUUGGUGAGGUAACGGCUCACCAAGGCGACGAUGCGUAGCCGGCCUGAGAGGGUGACCGGCCACACUGGGACUGAGACACGGCCCAGACUCCUACGGGAGGCAGCAGUAGGGAAUCUUCCGCAAUGGGCGAAAGCCUGACGGAGCGACGCCGCGUGAGCGAAGAAGGCCUUCGGGUCGUAAAGCUCUGUUGUGAGGGACGAAGGAGCGCCGUUCGAAGAGGGCGGCGCGGUGACGGUACCUCACGAGGAAGCCCCGGCUAACUACGUGCCAGCAGCCGCGGUAAUACGUAGGGGGCGAGCGUUGUCCGGAAUUAUUGGGCGUAAAGCGCGCGCAGGCGGUUCCUUAAGUCUGAUGUGAAAGCCCACGGCUCAACCGUGGAGGGUCAUUGGAAACUGGGGGACUUGAGUGCAGGAGAGGAGAGCGGAAUUCCACGUGUAGCGGUGAAAUGCGUAGAGAUGUGGAGGAACACCAGUGGCGAAGGCGGCUCUCUGGCCUGCAACUGACGCUGAGGCGCGAAAGCGUGGGGAGCAAACAGGAUUAUGAUACCCUGGUAGUC